AUAAGGCAGACUUCUUGGAGGAUGGUGGCUCCACUACCUAGAGAUGAAGGAAGGGCGGAGAAUACAGCCUUUCCUUAGCCCUCCGAGGGCACAACAGUUGGCUCCGAGUCCUCUUCAGGCGUGUCCUGACAUACACACGAGGACUAAUUUAAAAGCCUCACUGAGAAAAAUGAAUGACUUCAGUCCUUGACACUUUCCAAGUUCUUUCCCCUAGCUCGCCCGGGAAAUGCACCCCAUUAAUAACCAAUAAACGUUAAGAACGUCACCUCCCCACCCCUCUGGAAUUCCAAAGGGAGAAAUUUCUGGCCUGGGGACGUCCCCGGUUGUCCCCAUCAGGUAGGGAACUUCCGGAAACGCCUCCACUCCCCGAACAAUGGAAGGCUCCCUCCCUCCCCAACCUAUCCCGGGAGCCGAGUGCUCACGCCCUGCAGCUGCUCAAAGACUCUGAAGCAAGGAAGGGGACCCAUAAGCCAGCAAGCGGCUCAGUGGAGUGGCAUCCCCACCCGAGAGACUUGGGGACCUGACAUGAGGAAUCAGGAGAGAAUUCCCAAGCCAGAGGCCGGCUGUGAAUCCAAGAACACAGAGAUCCAGUCUUGAGGGCAAUGUGUCCGGGCAGGAGUGGGUCUCCGUGGAAUCUCAGGCCGUCAGCUACCAUCAUGUAUACAGAUGUUCCAUGAGGAGGUUUGCUUGGAUCCCACGGCCCAGCAUUCCUGUUCAGCCUCAUUCUCCCUCUGAUCCAGCAUCGUUUCUGAGACCUGUCUCCCAGGUGGUCAUUUCUCUUCUCUCCUGUCUGGCAUCCGAUCCUAAGUAAACAAGUGACUAAUAUAAUCAUGAUGAUAGACUCAGAUUGUAUUUCAAGUGUUGUGUACACCGAGACAGUGUAUACAGAGAUAGAUCAUGUACACCGAGACUGUGUAUACAGAGAUAGAUCGUGUACACCAAGACAGUGUAUACAGAGAUAGAUCGUGUACACCGAGACAGUGUAUACAGAGAUAGAUCGUGUACACUGAGACUGUGUACAUUGAGACUGUGUAUACCAAGACUGUGUAUACAGAGAUUGUGUACACCAUGCGAUAGAGAUCCAUAUAUUUCAUUUUAAAAGUCUUUUUCAUUUUA